rnacentral:tRNA from 1 species
GCCUUGGUGGCGGAAUUGGUAGACGCGCGCGACUCAAACUCGCGUUCUUCGGAGUGUGGGUUCGAUUCCCACCCAAGGUA